UAACUAAACACUUAUAAAUUCCCAAUCUUAGUUACUUAGGAAAAUGUGAAAAGGUGCUAGCCCAUAAAAUUACACUUUGUACCUUACCAAGUCGUUAGUGGAGCGUGUGUGGUUAACCGGCACACUAACAUGGACUAGUAAGAGUGGCAAAGGGUAACUUGACUUUAUUAUAGAUCAGUGGAGCGUGUGUGGUUAACCGGCACAUCGAUUAGGUAAUAUUGUUAAGGGUACCAAGUCAAUUUGUAUGGUUAUUCACACCUUGUUUGUGAUCCUCGGCAUCCCAGUCACAAAUUUGAGAGGGCACAAUCGAGAUUCAAACAUGCCAUUGAAAAGUUCAAUGUAUCUCAAAAGAUCUAGGAGUUUCAAAACCAAUAAAACCUAAUAAUAAAAUAUUUCGUUUUCAUGGUGAAAAUUGGUAAAUCAUCAUUUACCUACCUUCAACUAUUUUCUAAUUUGGAUUACGGCAUCCCUCUUUCAGUUAUAAAUAGGUUGUUGGGUCAUAGCCUUAAUAUUUCAUAUUGGGUGUUAUGUUAAGGACUUUAAAUCAACUAACUUGAAUUUCUCCCAUUAUAGAUGUGUAGUUCAGACAGCUAUGGUCUUCCCAAAUCUUUAGGAACAAGCUUCCUAAUGAAGGUGAUAUCCCAAAUGGAAAUCAAGGUGAAAGAUCAAUUNUUUAGACAGCUAUGGUCUUCCCAAAUCUUUAGGAACAAGCUUCCUAAUGAAGAUGAUAUCCCAAAUGGCAAUCAAGGUGAAAGAUCAAUCCCUUUGUUGG
rnacentral:lncRNA from 1 species